CUUAAGAUGGCAAGUCCAUAAACAAGAGAUAUCACCGAAGUUUUCUUCUUCCACCUUUCCGAGUUCACAAAGAGGUUUGGUGGUGGUGAUCAUCAAAUCAAUCACUCAAAAAGCGGUCUUUGUUAUACUAAAGGUACAAGAGUUAUUCUUCUUUGCUAAAGUCGUAGUAACAAUCCGUGAUUGAGACAAAGCUUUCGGAAAAGAAAAUUUUCCUUCGAGUUAGCUGAUGGUUUGGAUUAGCGAAAAAGGUUAGAGAAUGGUCAGAUUUAGACACAACCCAUAUAAAGAUAAAAAACAAGUUCAAUCCGUUCACGGAAUUCCAGAACCCAACUUAUAUUUUGAAGUCCCCAAAGGUGCUGACAGUGGAUGAAAUCAAGGCAGUUAUGCCAGAAGAACAUACAGAGUCUACAGAAGAAACAUAUGAUAUUUACCUUUUACCACCAGGUGAAGAAUCUGAAGCUUGCCAAUCGUAUCUCCGGAAGCGAAAUAAAGAUAGGAUGUACAAUUUAAUGUUUGAGGUUAGUCGGCAUAUGUGAAAUUUGGCUUUCUUAAUAUUUUAUAAUUUGGUUCACACGGUAAAUUAGUUUCACGCAUCAGCACUAGCCCUAAGCUAUUCUAGAAUGGUCACUGUAUAACCAGAUUAACAAUUUGUGUUCCAUUUUUACAAUAUGCUACUUUCUCUGAUUGGCCCCAUGUUAUUAUGGCUUUCCUGACUGUUAAAAUUUAAAAUGGCUUAUUGUGUUACUAUAAA